rnacentral:rRNA from 1 species
UUACUUGAGAGUUUGUUCCUGGCUCAGGAUGAACUCUGGCGGCGUGUCUAACACACGCAUGCUGAGCGUCUUACUUCGGUUAAGAGCGGUGGACGGGUGAGUAACGUGUGUGCUAUUCACCCUGUACUCCCGGAUACCAUACCGCAUGGCAUGUUUAUACGGGUUAAUAUAUUUGAUUGGCAU